AGCGUUGCUUCGGGGUGUGGAAGCAAAGAUUCCGCAUUCUCAAUGAAACGUUGUGAGGAUUCCUCCACGUGAUCAAGAUCACGAUUAUUGCUGGUGCAGUUUUGCACAAUUUAACAAUACUAAUAAUAAUUAAUGAGUCUAUUUUAAAUCAAGAUCCUACAGGCAUUGAAAAUCAAUUAACAAAUCCAACUGUCCCUAAUAAUGUAGAAGAAUAAGAAGAUGAAUGCGAAAAACAAGGGAAAACAUCAACACAGCCAUAUUGAAACUUAUUUUUAUAAUUAAAUAAAUAUUUUCAUAUAUUUGUAAA